rnacentral:lncRNA from 1 species
CAUGAGGGAUCCACCCCCAUGACCCAGACACCUCCCACCAGGCCCAACCACCAACACUGGGGAUCACAUUUCAACAUGAGUUUGGAGGGGACACACAUUCAAAUCACAGCACAUGCUUUUCCACCCAGCAGCCAUUCUGCCCAUCUUUCCCUGGCUGACAGAACUCUGCCUUCGAUCAAAAAACAAAUUAUUCUGCCAAGCAAGGAGCAUGUUUUAGCUUAGUCACCACAGAAGAAACAGAUCACUUUUAAUUAUGACAUUUCAUCAACACUUGGCAAGUAAGAAAGAUGGGUUGAAAGACUGCAUCAGAAAUAUUCUAGAGUUAUUUUCCUGCUAACAUGGAAACAAAAAGAUUCAAUGUGAGAAGAAAAAAUAGAUUCCUAAUGGUCAAGAGAACAAGAAAAUUAGAUAGAAACUUAAAUAUAAAGUACCCGGAAGUCAAAAUGUUUGAAAUGACACUUAGAGCCUUAAUUAACCAGAUUUUAAGAUAAUGACUGUAGUGUCUGUGUCUUCAAAUGGUUUGGGAUGUCCUUACAGCUCUUUGAAUAGUGUUCUCUUUAUUCAAUUAAUGCUUCUGAAAGAGCUUUAAUUUUACAUUAAUCAAAAGCCCUCAUGAUAUUUUCAGGAUGUACUCAAAUUCAAGAGUUUUUUAAAAGUGCAAUUAAGUUAUCAAGGCAGAGGCUCUGAUUAUAGGGACAAAAAUUUCAUAGCAACAGCCCAUUAAACACACUGAGCCUGACACAUUGCUGUACACCAUGGUUCAUGCCAGGCUGUGGGCAAAAUGGUCAGGCUUCCCAGUGAACAAGACUGACCUCCCUCUACCUUCCUCCUGAAGAGCAAAAUACUGCUUCUUUGACAACAUAAACAGUUACCUUAUACUACCCAUUUUUACAGCAAACGACUCUCUGCCUGUAAUCCAAGCUAAUGGAAUUUUUAAAAAUUCUAUGAGAGUUUUAAAAAGCAAGGACUGAAAAUAGCUUUUUCUUUUUUCUUUUUUUUUUUU